GCCUAAUAUUUGUUUUGUUUUUGUGAAUUCACUUGUGUUAAGUAUAUAAAAUAUCAUGUUAUUUGCAGGAGAUUGGCAAGAUUGUUAAUGGAAGGGAGAGUUCAGAAUGCUCCCAAUUUGAUGACCCACUUAAGAAGGCUGGCCAUGACCGUGAUGAUCAGGAAUCUAAAAUGAAACUUCGCAGAAAGAGGAAACACAUAGACUCCGACGUUCAAGGUUCCAGUGAUAAACCUGCCGCAAAAUUUUUAAGAAGCAUGAAGAAUAUUGCUGUAACAUUCCAGCCUAGAAGAUCCCUGCGGCUAAUCUCCAAGUGAUUUAAUGGUGUGCUUGUGCACUACAUUUGAAGGCAUGAGUUCCAGAUUUUUCAAUGAAUCCAAGGGGAAGAAUGACAUUUAGUAGGUAUAAACUAUCACUUCAUCUGGUUUUGAGAACCACAAGGAAUAUUGAG